rnacentral:lncRNA from 1 species
UGGUUCAUGUUAUUUUUUGUGGGCCUAGUUUUUCUACAAUGAGUUCUGUAAGCGAAGGCCAAUCUUAAGCGCCACAACCCAGUAGUUGUGACUUGUAUUGUCCUAUUUUUUAUGGACUGUGUUUUGCUCUACUGUUAGGUAGUGUUAAAAUGGAUUUUCCAUACAUAUCAAGUACUUACACAUAAGAAAGUGAUGUAGGUAGUACUGAAGUAGGGUUCUGCAUCUGCCAAGAUGUAGCCAGGUACAGCCUAUGCAUCAUGAUAGAGACGCAUGAGAUACAUUUUAAAAAUUAUUUUUGGUAAUGGAUGAUACUUAAUAUGUCAUAAAAAUAAUUAGGUGCCCUCCGGUGUUCAAGCUUGAUGAAGCAGCACUUACACAAUCAUUCCCAGUGGUGGAUGUGAAGAACACAUGUUUUGGCUGUGCUGUUUGU